rnacentral:lncRNA from 1 species
CAAUGCUCAAAUUAGGCUGCUCUUUUCCAUUCACUAGUUUUUUUGAGCCUCGCGCGACGCGCGAGGUUGCCCCCAGUUUGUGUUAAUCAAAAUUAAUGAUGGCGAGUAAUUUAGUGUAAAACACUUGCAUACUUAAUAAUUAUGAUGUGAGAGAAUCCUUUUCCUGGUUUAUUAUGUCAUACUCAAUACACCAGGGUGGCUGAUAUAUGAAUUGAUAUCACCUGUUAUCCUCGUCAUUCACAUAUGUUAAAUGCACUUGUAGCCAUAAUACAUACACCUUGAUAUCUACCACAGUCAUGCUUAGCACUUGGACUGGCACGUUGCUCACAUCUCUUUCUAAUCCUUUCUUCAUAAGCUUUUUCUAAGCUUACAUAUUUUCAUCGGCUACCCAUUUAGAAAAGCUCAACUAUACAUAUGUAAAAAGGUUUCAGUAAGAAUGCAUAACCAACUAAAUUAUUAGCACAAACACAAUAAAUAAAUAAAUAAAUAAUAAUGUUUGUACCUCCAAUAUGCUAUCAAGAAUUAAUAACAUCCUUCAGUGAACCAUUGCGCUGAUUUGAACGCUGAUUUGAACGCUCUGACUCAUUAGGCCUUUCUUUACAAGGACAAAAUCACGAAAAGGCAAAAUAAAGCAAAGAGCUCACCUUGCAAAAUUAGGAAAGGGAGCUUUCAAUUGGAAGAAGAAGUUGGCCCCGAGACAAUGGUCCACACAAAUGGAGGCAAAAGUUCAUGUAAAGAACACAAAUCAAAGCAUGCACCACAUAAAUAGAGAAUCAUCCGAAACUCAAAUCAUCGGAAUAAAACAAGAGAUCUUAUUAGCCUUUGCUAACUUGGAAAUCUAAAAUCAAAACAUCAAAUCACCAAACAAAGGUGAGUAAGAAAACAGAACUUAAAAAAUAAAAAACAGAAUGAAAUAUGAACACAGAGCAGAAAUUAGCCGCUACAGAACAUUUAUAACCAAGAAGUGACCAGCCCUAUUCAAUAGCAUCAUCAUCCUAAUUCCCAAGUCAUACCCUUUGCUAAAAACUCUUUUAAGUCAUGCAUUUUCUAACUAUGAUUGUAUUGCUUUUGACUCUAAAGACAGUAAAUGUUCCAACUUGUCUAAGGCUACAAAAAUAUGUUAAUGAUGGUAAACUUGACUUAAAACAAAUACGUUCCCUCCAAUAUGAGUUCUCUCUAUCUUGGUUCUAAACGUGGUAAACUUGGUUUAAAACAAAUAAGCUCUCUCUAUCUGCAACCCUUAGAACACCUAGUUUAAGUAUGCAACAUUUUAUCUUAAUUAAAUUCAGAAAGUUGAAUAUGGCUUUAAGGCAUUUUACAAAUAGGUUUUGGGCACUAAUUAGGAUGGAGAAAAAUACUACAGAGAGUAAACAGAGCAGAAAUUAGCUGUUAUGGAACAUUUAUAACCAAGAGGUGACAAUCGCAACUGUAUUUGAUUGAAUUCAACUUUUCAUCCAUUCACAAUAUUCAUCAUUUUCCAUGAUUAAUGAUUCUAGAGAAUGAAAUGUUUGAAAUGAGAAUGAGUUCUUCAAUUGUUUAAGUUGCUCCUGAGAUGAGUAUGUGUUCUGUGUUUGUUUCAUGGAUACCCAAUUAAUUGGAGAACAAGAUUAGAUAACCCAAAAAAUGAAGAAACUUCACCGUGCUUUUCGGAUGACAAAAUUUUGCCACCACAAUAGUGGUGGCGAACUCUGCUCGGCAAACAAUAGCUCAUCCCUAUUCCUCGAACAAGACCCUGCCUCUCAUUUUUUUCUCUUUUUUUUUUGUUAAUUUGGUUUGAAGAGACAAAAUAUGCAAGGGAAAAAGAAAUCACGCAAAAGUGGGGAAAUCCAAUUGUUUUAAAUUCAAGAGUUAGCUACUUGCAUGAAAUUAUUAUUCUAAAUUCAAGAGUUAGCUACUUGCGUGAAAUUUCAUAAGUGACUUGGCACAAAAACUGCCUUCCUUUCCUGGAAAAAAAAAAAGAGAACCAAAAAUUAUACAUUUAACCCAUCAAUCAUGCUGAACGCUCAUCUGAAGUGGCCUGAAUUUAACAUCAAAGAAUCUUUGGAACUAAUUUCACUACCAUGGCAUAUUUCGACAAUCUAAGCUUGCUCAGACUCAAAAAAAAAAAGUAUAGCUAAUUGUCAAAAAAAAAUACAUCAUCUUUUCUUAGCUUUACAUUGCAUAAAUUCAGGGCUAACAAGUUCAUAUUGUUAGACCACCAUUCAUUUAUUGAAGUUAGGAAUAACACCUAGACCAACUGUAAUAACCUCUCAAUAUGUUUAGAAAAUCACCUAUAUUUUUCUUGUUACUUGGUUUUGGAUAGAAAAGUUAGUUGUAAUGCCUCUGGAAUACAAAUACCUUAAUGUAAUUCCUUUAUAAUAGUUUGUCUGUUGACAACCUAAUUAAACUCAUUCAAAAAAAAAAUUGAACUUGCAAAUUUGGUGUUCAACACCUUUUAAUUUGAUUAGUUUCCUGCGUAAUUUCUAAUGUUUUAAAUCUCAAAUAUAGAAAAUGAAUUGGAUAUAUUCAUAGGCUAGAUUACAAACUACAUUAGCUAAACCCACAAAGUAAAAUAGGAAAAGGAUAAAACACAUACACACACACAAACACAAAGUGAAACAGAAAGUAUGAAAUGCCUGGCCGUGUCUUACUCUUACACAAGGAAAAUUAAAGAAAGAAAAAGAGAAAAAUAGCAUCCAAUUGGCCUUCCAUUUAUUCCUUUCUGUUCUGUAGUUUUUUUGGUUCUUUUUGGAAACUUAUUAGUUUAUAAUGGAUUAAACUAUACAGAUAUUAUAAUAAGAAAAGGUUAUAGGAACUGCAAAACCUGUUAGGUGCGGUUUAUGAGAAGAAAAAUCAAUUGCUCCAAUACAUUAUAAAUGAGGUGUUAAAAAAAAUGACAAAUUAAUGCUCCACCAGUUUUGAUAUCAAAGAAGUUGUUGCUCAAUAUAAACGUCUACAUCUGGCUACGUCAAUUUUGCAACAGUUUGCCAACUUGUUACAAAAGAUUUGAAAGGUAUUUUAUUUUCAACAGAAUCUAAAACCAAAUGAAUAUUUCGAAGUGGUUAAACAAAAUGCUCAUGGGUUUGGUUGCCAAUUCAUGUACUAAUCACAAAUCAAGAACUACUUGGUUUCUAUCCAAGUGGACAUUUUCAUUGGCUUGGGUAUUAAGCAUCGAAAGUCUCUUACUUAUUUUCUUUAUUCAUAACCGUUGACAAUGACACCAGUUUUUUCGCUCUGCAAUUUUCAAAUUUACGUGAACCAUAUAAUGUACUAUGUAAACACAGGAAGGGAACCAUAAUGUCAUAACAAAUUACAAAAAACAAAAAAACAAGCAAAUACCAUAUCACAAUCGAAACAUGCAUUGAUGAAAUUACAUUAAACCAAUCCAAAACAUCAAACAAUUUUCUGAAACGGAGAAAAACUAACACACAAUAAUUGUAGAUGUUAAAUGAGGACAUAUAGCGAAUAUAUGGUGUGCACGUCAAAUAAGUUUGAAUGACCUGUCUAAAAAUACAGCCCUUAAUCAUAAAACAAAAGACAUCAGCACAACAAACAAAUCACAUCAAUGCGACUUUCAAUUAUGAUCAGCAAAUUGAUAAACUCAAAACCGAUAAGCUAAUAGACAUAGAGUGAAAAGUUCACCUUUCAAAACCAUCGAAACUUCACAAUGCUCUUCUGGUGAAGAAAUUCAACGACAAUGGCUAUGGCAGUGGCGGUGGUGGAUUCCGGUCAACAGGCAAUGACUCCUCCGUGCUCCUCGGACUCCCUUUUUUGUGGCUUUGCUAUUACUUUCCCCUUCUUCUCUAUUUCUUGUUUGCUUGUAAUGGGAUGGAGUUAGAAAACUUGUAUGCGUUUUUAGUGAUGUGCAUCAAUGAUUCUUGGAGAUGAAAUCUUUGAGAUAACAGUAGUGGCUUCUUCAUAAUUUUAGCAGUUAAAAAACAAUAAACUGCUGCAUUAGUUAACCCAAACUGAAAGAAAACAUGCGUCAAAAAUGAAUGGUAACGAGGUUUCUACCAACCGCUUCCUACCCCUCCAAGAAGUACUCCUGUCCAACUAACAAAACCAAAUGCCCUCAAAGAACAACAAUGAAGGACUCACUCUUGCAGCUACCAAAGAACGCUG